rnacentral:miRNA from 1 species
AGAAGGCCGUCCUUGGACAUGA